rnacentral:rRNA from 1 species
CCUACGGGGGGCAGCAGUGAGGAAUAUUGGUCAAUGGGCGCGAGCCUGAACCAGCCAAGUCGCGUGAGGGAAGACGGUCCUAUGGAUUGUAAACCUCUUUUGUCGGGGAGCAAAAGACGCCACGCGUGGCGUUCCGAGAGUACCCGAAGAAAAAGCAUCGGCUAACUCCGUGCCAGCAGCCGCGGUAAUACGGAGGAUGCGAGCGUUAUCCGGAUUUAUUGGGUUUAAAGGGUGCGCAGGCGGAAGAGCAAGUCAGCGGUAAAAUUGCGAGGCUCAACCCCGUCGAGCCGUUGAAACUGGUUGUCUUGAGUGAGCGAGAAGUAUGCGGAAUGCGUGGUGUAGCGGUGAAAUGCAUAGAUAUCACGCAGAACUCCGAUUGCGAAGGCAGCAUACCGGCGCUCAACUGACGCUGAGGCACGAAAGUGUGGGUAUCGAACAGGAUUAGAUACCCCGGUAGUC